GACGAACGCUGGCGGCGUGCCUAACACAUGCAAGUCGAACGGAAAACAUAGCAAUAUGUUUUUAGUGGCGAACGGGUGAGUAACGCGUAGACAACCAACCUUUUUGUGGGGGACAACACUUCGAAAGGAGUGCUAAUACCGCAUACGCUCCAGAUGCCGCCUGGCAUUUGGAGGAAAGGAGCUGUAAGGCUUCGCAAAACGACGGGUCUGCGUCUGAUUAGCUAGUUGGAGGGGUAACGGCCCACCAAGGCGACGAUCAGUAGCCGGUCUGAGAGGAUGGACGGCCACACUGGGACUGAGACACGGCCCAGACUCCUACGGGAGGCAGCAGUGGGGAAUCUUCCGCAAUGGACGAAAGUCUGACGGAGCGACGCCGCGUGAGUGAUGAAGGCCCUUGGGUCGUAAAGCUCUGUCAUCAGGGACGAACGGUCACGUCAGGAAAUGGGCGUGAAUUGACGGUACCUCAGAAGAAGCCCCGGCUAACUCCGUGCCAGCAGCCGCAGUA
rnacentral:rRNA from 1 species